AUAGCGAUGUUACUGACUUUGCUCUUGGCCUUCAAUCUUCGCAGUCAGUUCUGUAGAGGAUUGGGAUCCCCUAUGGCAGUUCUCCACCAAUGAGGUGAAGUAUGGCAGCAAUGAAGACGACAAACAGGAUGGGUGCCAUGAUGCAUCCCUGUUUGACCCGUUUCUACAGUGAAGGGCUCGGACUCAGAGCCGCAGUUGCUGAGCACUGUGACCAUUAUGUAGAAGCCUCAAUAUUCUGAUGUAUAUCUGAUGUAGACACUUCCGGUGGUGCCAUGCUGGACUAGCAGUCGCAACAUUUAGCUCCGCAGCUGAAAAUUCGCGAUUUUUUGCGUUAAAAUCGGGUCUAGAGGUCGGGACCGAUUCAAAAACUUACCGGAGCCCCUGGACGUCGCGCUGAUGACGUCAUCAGUAAGCGCUGUGAAUUAAACGGAGGUUAGAAGCUUUUAAAUGUAAAAAACGUCUCCAGCUCAGAGCCCUCAGAGAACAAUCUCAAAACACCUCCUGAAAAGCCAGAAACCUGAAGAACUGACCUCUGAAGUGGCCUCUGUAAUGGCUACAAGAUCCAAGACUGAGAUGGCUACUAAGGAUUAAAAUGAACUUGAGGAGAUAAAGAAUUUGGUAAGAGAACUGAGAAAGGAUAUUGAGGCUGGAAAUUCAAAAAUGAUGGAAAAUAUGUCGAACAUGAAUGCCAGCAAUCAAAAAGUUAUUGAUUGCAUUGGCAUUUAAAAAAAACGAAUUGAUGAUGUGCAAGAGGAGCUAACGGGGAGAAUUGAUAAAGUGGAAUUAGAUUCCACAAAGAAGUUUGAGGCUGUGCAUGAAACUGUUUCUUCAUAUCCAACUGCAAUGAGAGGCAUGGAAUCAUCUAUGGUAAAAAUGUCUGAAGAUAUGCAGAGAAUGAAGCUAGAACAAGACAGCCUCUAGAGUCACCUGGCGAAAGUCUCGGAUAAAUGCCUCGAUCUCGAAGCUCACUCAAGACGCAAAAAUUUAAGAAUACUGGGAGUAACAGAGGGAGCAGAGGGAAACAACCCCCCCGUGAGUUUACUGUCAACUUAAUUAAACAUGCACUCAAUUUACCCGUGGAACCGAAAAUUGAAGUGGCACAUCGAGUACCCAGAUUUAAGUCAAGAUCACAAGUAGGUCCAGCCCGUCCAUAACAGAUCAUAGUCAAACUUCGGGACAUUUCAGCACUGGAAGAGCUGAUGAAAAAAAUCAAACACGGAGUGAAGAUGACGUUUGGAAACAACUCUAUCAAACUUUUCAGGGAUUAUCCCUAUGAGAUCGUGCAAAAGAGAAAACAGUUCUCACAGACAAGACAGAUUCUCCAAGGAGUUCAAGAUGUCAGAUACAGCGUUUUUUAUCCAACCAGGAUGCGAAUUACUUAAAAGGGAAAGGAGAAAUUGUUUAUUAAUCUGGAGGCAGCGCACAAAUAUGCCCAAGAAAUUGUGGCAGAAACAGAUGAUUAAUGAAUGCAGCGGGACGGUAUGGACAAAUUCUUUCUCUUUAUUAGUUCACAGAGAACGCCCGAAGAUAAGGGAAGAAACACCAUUCUCUAAAAGUCUAAAAUGGAGGAGUAUCUCCAUGUGUGCUGGUCUAGACACCUUAUCUGUUUCGGACGCUUUGGAAUUUAACUCAAGGACAUUCUUUGUUCAAAAUGAAGGAAAGACUGAUUAACAAGGGAGCGACGAACAGGAGAGCCGAACGUGGAAAACAUCACAAGGACAAAUGGAGGAGAAUCGCAAAAGGGAUCUACCAAAGGAAUUUAGUAGCGUAAACGUUCCCCAAAUAUCCAGAGACCUGAGAAUAUCGACAGUGGGUCCAGAAUACUCAUCGACAAGAUCGCCAACACCGAACUACGGAGUACUUGUCAAAGAACUGCCGUCAUUGGUUAGCUGAUAUUCGAAAUACUGCAUCCCUGUAUAUCUCGCACACAAAACAAUGUCAACGAUGUAAAUCUUACCAUAAAUGACAGAAAUAAAAAGUGUUAUC